CAAAUUUCAAUUUAAAUUAAUUUCAUAUUUAAAUUAAUAUUUAAAUUUUAAAUUUUAAAUUUUAAAAUUGAACUUAAAUUUUAAGUUUACUUUCAAAUUCAAAUUCAAAUUUUUAAUUCAAAUUUUAAAUUUUGAUUUGAAUUUUAAAUUAUGAACUUUAAAUACAAAAUAAACUUUAGAUAUAGAAUUUAAAUUUUAAAUUAAAAUAAUAAGCAUGCAAGUAAUUAAUAAUUUUUUUGAGAAUUGGAAUAAUUAUUGAACAUAAUAUAUACUAGUGAAAAGACCCGCGCUUCGCAGUGAGUAGAAACUAUAGAAGAUACCAAUAAAAAAUAAAAAGGUAUUCAUUAAUAAAAAAAAAAAAACAUCUUGGAUGGGGCGAUUGACACGUCGAAAUGAUAACUGUCACCUAUAACCUCUAUUAAUGGUGGAGCCCUAUGCCGCCGCAAUCGCAAGAGGCUACGUCACCGCCAUUGCCACCAACAUUACCGAGAACCUCAUCCUCAUCCUUGACUACGGAUUCCAGAACAUCACCCACCAUAUCCACCAACUCUUCUCCUCUUUCUUUCUUUGCAUCUUUAGAAACUCUUCCCUCUCCUUCUUCUCCAACAAAAAAAAUCACAAAAGAGAGAAAAAAGUGAUUAAAUGAAGCCGACCUCGACGCAGCCGUUUACGACGGUGAUGUGGAGUGUAGAGAGGAGGUCGUUGAUAGUAGUGUGGCGGAGGAGAUCAGGAUCGACACAGAGGGAGGAGUAGACGGCAUUAGCGCCCUCGACUCGGAUCACGCCGAAAAAGGCAUCAGAUCAAUCAGUCACCAUCCCAUCUUUUAGUGAAUCUAUACUGGAAAAAAAAAGAUAAUAAAGAAAAUGACAACAAAGAAAGUAGAAGAAGAACCACAACGUAUGGAAAAGAUACAUGGUCAUAUAGGAAAGAUAAACUGUCACAUAGGAAAUUAAAGAGAAAACGGUUAUAGGAAUAUAAGAGACUAGGGAGAGUAAACUUGAAGAUGGAGCCCACAUCCAACCUUGAAGGUAGGGUUGCCACAUGGAUUUUUUUGGGGAUUAAUAUAGAGUUAUGGAUUAUAGAUGACAGCCUACAUUACUGAGAUUUUUAUUAUUCUAAUAAUCUUCAAUGAGAAAACUAUAUGAACUAAAUGUAGGUAUUCAAAUUCAAAUUUUGUAUUCAAAUUUUAACCUUAAAUUUAUUUUUUAAUUUUUUAAAGCUAGUUCUGAAUUCAAAUUUAAAAUUUGAAUUUAAUUUUAUAUUUAAUUUAAUAUUUUAAUUUAAAAUUUAAAAUUUACAAUUUGAACUUAAACUUUAUGUUUAGUUUUAAAUUUAAUUUUUAUUAAAAAUUUAAAUUUCAAUUCGAAUUUUGAAUUACGGUCUUGAAAUUUAAAAUAAACUUUAGAUCUAGAGUUUAAAUUUGAAAUUAAAACAAUAAGCAUGUAAGUAAUUAAACUUUUUAAAAAUAGGGAUAAUUCUUGAAACUAGUAUAUAUUACAGCCUACAUUGCUAAGAUUUUUAUCAUCAUAAUAAUCUUUAGUAAGAAAACUAUAUGAAGUAAAUAUAAGAAUUAUACAAUUUCUACAAAUCUCAUGAGUGAGGCUGAUAUGUUUUUAGAAGUACAGAACUCUCCGUACUUCCAAAUCAUUCUCGAUUUGAAAAUUUUCAAGUUGACGAUUGGCACUAUUAAACUUGAUUUAGAAUAUCUGAAGUACCUAGAAAAAAAAUUCACGGUCUUUCAGUAUUAUUUAUCUAUUGAUUGAAGGAGCUCAAAAUUAAUACUUUACUAGUUGUGAUGAGCCGUUUGCAAAUUCAAUAGUGUAGAAAUAGCCAAAUCACAUAAAAAUUUGAUAGAAAUUUUUUUUUUACUAUAUAUAAAAUAAAAUCAAUAUUUUUGAUCAAAAUUUUAGUAUCAUAUUAUCACAUUUUGUUAGAUUUCUAUUUUCAUUAAUUUUGAGCCCUUUUGAUACUAGGUAAAUGAUAUUAAAAAAUUAUAAAAUUUAUUUUUGGGUACUUAAGAUAUUCUAGAUUAGGCUUAGUAGAGCCAAUCGUUGACUUAGAAAUACAUAGAAAAUGACUUGAAAGUAUGGAGAGCUUCGUAUUUCUAAAAGCAUACCAGCCUCACUACUCCUAAUUCAUUAUUACUAAUGAAAUUCCACUUAAUAUUUUGAUAUCUAGGAAUCGUAGACAAUGCGAUCCAAACAUGACCUAGCAAAUUUAGACAAUGUGAUCCAAAUGUGUGACACUAUGCUUCCCAGGGGUCAAUAAUCUUGUACUAUAUAUUCUUUCCCUACUAUAUUUAAUUCUCUUAUUCUCAUGAUUCUAUUUAAUACCUAAAAUAUUAUAGUCAAAUUUAAUAAACUCACAACCGCCCGAUAAUAUGAGAUUUGUCUCACUAGUCUUAUCAUUCAAAUCUUGAUUCAACCUGCUAUUCAUAGAUAUUGACUUAGCAUGUCAUUCAGAACUUGCUUAACCGAGACUCAUCUCACACUUUUGACAGAAAAUUAAUUUUAAUACUAAAUGUAAUGACACCGCUUACUUGCAAUAAUAACUCACUAUAUUCUAUAAGACUAUUGA
rnacentral:lncRNA from 1 species